rfam:Asian citrus Psyllid, Diaphorina citri - Florida Strain, whole genome shotgun sequence.
GCGUAGUUAGCUUAGUUGGUAGUGCGUCUGCCUUGUAAGCGCUAGGCCGCGGGUUCGAUUCCCGCCCGGGGCG